UAAAAAUUUAUGUUUUUAAUAAUUUAUUAUUAAUUUAUUUUACAUAUAAAUUUUAGUAUAUAAUUUUAAUUAUUUUAAUAAUAAUUAAAUAAAUUAUUUAGUAAUUAAAAUUAAAAAUUUAAGAAAUUAUUAUUUAGUAAUAUUAAAAUUAAUAACUAAUUUUGUGCCAGCAGUUGCGGUUAAACAAAAGUUAAAUUAAAUUAUUUCAGUUUAUAAUAAAUAUAAAUGUAAUUAAAUUAAAUAUUAAAUUAUUAAGUGAAAUUUUAAUUUAAUUAAAAUUUAUAGUAAAUUUAUGAUUUAAUAAAUUUUAAUAUAAACUAGGAUUAGAUACCCUAUUAUUAAAAAUUUAAAUAUAAAUACUAAAAUAGUAAAUAAUAUAUAUUGAAACUUAAAUAAUAUGGCGGUAUUUUAGUUCAUUUAGAGGAAUCUGUCUAGUAAUUGAUAAUCCACGAAUAAAUUUACUUAAUUUAAAAUUUUGUAUAUCAUUGUUAAAAAAAUAUUUUUAAAUAAAAAUAAUAUUUUAAUUUUUAAAAAUAAAGUUAAUUCAGAUCAAGAUGCAGAGUAUAUUUAAGUUAAAGAUGGAUUACAAUAAAAAUAUUUAAAUGAAUAUAAUUUUGUAAGAAUAAUUGAAGGUGGAUUUAAAUGUAAUUAUAAUUAGUUUAUUAAAAUGAUUAAUAAUUAAAAUAUGUACAUAUUGCCCGUCACUUUCAUUUGAAAAUUGGAAUAAGUCGUAACAAAGUAGAGGUACUGGAAAGUGUUUCUAGAAUGA
rnacentral:ncRNA from 1 species